rnacentral:rRNA from 1 species
GUGUCAGCCGCCGCGGUAAUACGGAGGGGACUAGCGUUGUUCGGAAUUACUGGGCGUAAAGCGCGCGUAGGCGGAUUUGCAAGUCGGGGGUGAAAGCCCGAGGCUCAACCUCGGAACUGCCCUCGAUACUGCAAAUCUCGAGUCCGAGAGAGGUGAGUGGAAUUCCUAGUGUAGAGGUGAAAUUCGUAGAUAUUAGGAAGAACACCAGUGGCGAAGGCGGCUCACUGGCUCGGUACUGACGCUGAGGCGCGAAAGCGUGGGGAGCAAACAGGAUUAGAUACCCCCGUAGUCC